rnacentral:rRNA from 1 species
CAGCCCGCGGGAAUACGUAGGGUGCAAGCGUUAAUCGGAAUUACUGGGCGUAAAGCGUGCGCAGGCGGUUCCGCAAGUCAGAUGUGAAAUCCCCGGGCUCAACCUGGGAACUACAUUUGAAACUACGGGGCUAGAGUGUGUCAGAGGGGGGUGGAAUUCCACGUGUAGCAGUGGAAUGCGUAGAGAUGUGGAGGAACACCAAUGGCGAAGGCAGCCCCCUGGGAUGACACUGACGCCCAUGCACGAAAGCGUGGGGAGCAAACAGGAUUAGAUACCCGAGUAGUCCCUGUCUCUUAUACAC